CCUACGGGGGGCAACAGUGGGGGAUAUUGGACAAUGGGGGGAACCCUGAUCCAGCGACGCCGCGUGAGUGAAGAAGUAUUUCGGUAUGUAAAGCUCUGUCAGCAGGGAAGAAAGAAAUGACGGUACCUGACCAAGAAGCUCCGGCUAACUACGUGCCAGCAGCCGCGGUAAUACGUAGGGGGCAAGCGUUAUCCGGAAUUACUGGGUGUAAAGGGAGCGUAGACGGUUAAGUAAGUCUGGGGUGAAAGGCCGGGGCCCACGCCCGGGACUGCUCUGGAAACUAUUGAACUUGAGUGCAGGGGAGGUAAGCGGAAUUCCUAGUGUAGCGGUGAAAUGCGUAGAUAUUAGGAGGAACACCAGUGGCGAAGGCGGCUUACUGGACUGUAACUGACGUUGAGGCUCGAAAGCGUGGGGAGCAAACAGGAUUAGAUACCCUUGUAGUC
rnacentral:rRNA from 1 species